rnacentral:lncRNA from 1 species
AGGAAAAGUUCUAUAUGCUGCUUGUUAGUGUCACUUUUGAUUGAUGAGGUUGGAUUAUGAAGAAAUGUUUUACAAGAGGUAUGAAUUUGUAGAAUUUUUUUUCACCGAUGAUCACGUCACAAAAUUUCUUGCGUGGAAUGGCAAAUAUCAUUAUGAGUGCAAUUUUAUGUGUUUGCAGAGGGAAUCUUGGAUAUAUUAAAGUUUCCAUAAGUGGGGAUUUGGUUGGUCUGAGUCUUUAAGGUUGUGAGGUUAGUGAUUUGUGAUAUUUCAUUAGAAGUUAAGAUACUAAACAUUCCUCAAAACCCUGUAUCUAAUUCCUAUUGUCGGUUGCGAUUCAUGUGCACUAAAUGAUAAACGUUGUUAAAGAAGGUGAUUUGAAUAAUCGUUCACUUAACCAUGAUAAAUGUUAUAUAUAUACCUUUAUGCGCCUUCAAUGGAAAAUUAAGCGAUUGGAUUGUGGAUCCAGGAGAGACCAACUAUAUGACAGGUGCUGAGAGUUUAUUCGAAUCUUUAAAACCAUGUGAUAAGAGUUUGACAGUAAGGAGAGCAGAUGGAUGUGUCUCAAAGAUAGUUUUGGGCAGGGUCUGUUAAAACAUCAAAGGACCUCUUUUGGUCCAAAUAAUCUUCUGUCGAUAAGCAAACUUGAAAAAAAAUAGAACUAUGACGCUAAAUUCUUUCAAGAUUCGUGUGAAUUUCUAGACUUGAACUUGGGGAGGAUGUAGCAAUGCUAAUGCUCGGGUUUCUAUCUUUUAGGAAUCCUUACAGCGAAAGAAUAAAGGCUUCCAAGCCCAACUGCGACAUGGGUCAGUCCUAAAUUAACUUUUCAAGCUAUAGGUUUGUAACGGGAUGGCAUUUCGUUAAAAGUCUAUUCUCCGAACAUAUACCCUAGUUACGCACCUUAACCUUUCUCAGUAAUCCGUAGUGAUGUGUAGGGACCAUCUAGGGUAAGUGAUCAUUUGCGUGUAUGGGUAUAUCACCGCCCAUGAUGAAUAAUCACGAUAUAUCCUUGGAUAGAGUGUAAGGUGAAUGGAAUUCUAAUUUGGAUAGGACUCUUCGCAAUGAAAGAAUUUUGUCUAUUUCAGAAGUUGAAUUGUUGAUCCUCGUCACUAUGACAUUGGAUCCAACUCAAAGGGGG